AGNGACCUCAGGUCAGGCGG
rnacentral:rRNA from 1 species